rnacentral:rRNA from 1 species
AACGAACGCUGGCGGCAUGCCUAACACAUGCAAGUCGAACGAGACCUUCGGGUCUAGUGGCGCACGGGUGCGUACCGCGUGGGAACCUGCCCUUAGGUUCGGUAUAACUCCCCGAAAGGGGUGCUAAUACCGGAUAAUGUCUUCGGACCAAAGAUUUAUCGCCUUUGGAUGGGCCCGCGUUGGAUUAGCUAGUUGGUAGGGUAAAAGCCUACCAAGGCGACGAUCCAUAGCUGGUCGGAGAGGAUGAUCAGCCACACUGGGACUGAGACACGGCCCAGACUCCUACGGGAGGGAGCAGUGGGGAAUAUUGGACAAGGGGCGAAAGCCUGAUCCAGCAAUGCCGCGUGAGUGAUGAAGGCCUUAGGGUUGUAAAGCUCUUUUACCCGGGAUGAUAAUGACAGUACCGGGAGAAUAAGCACCGGCUAACUCCGUG